GCUUCUUCCGGUGACCAGGACGCAGCCACCCUCGGGACUACAGAGGGAAAGAAGAGAAGUGGCUGGAGGUGAUAAAAUGUAGAGUAGCCCUAAACUCGUAAUUUUUUUGGAAGAAUUCUCUGCUGUUCUGGGAGCCAAUUACACCUUGGAAGACCAUAAGAGAGCUUGACAGAGCAGAUAAGGAGUCACCAGCAUAUAAAUGGAAAUUGAAGGUAUGGGAAUUGAUGAGCUCACCCAUCAGAUGUAUAUAGAGUGAGAACAACAAGUCCUUGGAGAGGCAGCUGAGAACAGCAAUUGACUGGCAAUUGACACUGAGAAGGAACAGCCAAAAAGGUAGGGGAAAAAACCAGUGGGCUGCUACAGAAGAUAAACAUGAGCAAAAUUGUCACAUGCUGAAGAGAUGUCAAGUGGAAUAACACUUGAAGGUAGUUUAGCCACAGGAAGGUCAUUGAGGGUCCUUGAGGUGAUGGUAAAGGAUGUAGUCUGAUGUAACGGGAGGAAUGAAGGGGAAGAGAAGAAAUAAACACACAAGUAGCCCAGCUCUCACUUACAAUACAUACUUGUUCAAAUGAAUUGCUGCUUCUAUUAAGAGUCAUGCUGAGAAGAAAAGGAGAUUGUAUAAAGGUAGAGCUCUUUGAAUUUUUUUUUUAAUGUUUAUUU